rnacentral:rRNA from 1 species
ACAUGCAAGUCGAGCGGAUGAAGAGAGCUUGCUCUCUGAUUCAGCGGCGGACGGGUGAGUAAUGCCUAGGAAUCUGCCUGGUAGUGGGGGACAACGUCUCGAAAGGGACGCUAAUACCGCAUACGUCCUACGGGAGAAAGCAGGGGACCUUCGGGCCUUGCGCUAUCAGAUGAGCCUAGGUCGGAUUAGCUAGUUGGUGAGGUAAUGGCUCACCAAGGCGACGAUCCGUAACUGGUCUGAGAGGAUGAUCAGUCACACUGGAACUGAGACACGGUCCAGACUCCUACGGGAGGCAGCAGUGGGGAAUAUUGGACAAUGGGCGAAAGCCUGAUCCAGCCAUGCCGCGUGUGUGAAGAAGGUCUUCGGAUUGUAAAGCACUUUAAGUUGGGAGGAAGGGUUGUAGAUUAAUACUCUGCAAUUUUGACGUUACCGACAGAAUAAGCACCGGCUAACUCUGUGCCAGCAGCCGCGGUAAUACAGAGGGUGCAAGCGUUAAUCGGAAUUACUGGGCGUAAAGCGCGCGUAGGUGGUUUGUUAAGUUGGAUGUGAAAGCCCCGGGCUCAACCUGGGAACUGCAUUCAAAACUGACAAGCUAGAGUAUGGUAGAGGGUGGUGGAAUUUCCUGUGUAGCGGUGAAAUGCGUAGAUAUAGGAAGGAACACCAGUGGCGAAGGCGACCACCUGGACUGAUACUGACACUGAGGUGCGAAAGCGUGGGGAGCAAACAGGAUUAGAUACCCUGGUAGUCCACGCCGUAAACGAUGUCAACUAGCCGUUGGGAGCUUUGAGCUCUUAGUGGCGCAGCUAACGCAUUAAGUUGAUCGCCUGGGGGAGUACGGCCGCAAGGUUAAAACUCACAUGAAUUUGACGGGGGCCCGCACAAGCGGAGGAGCAUGUGGUUUAAUUCGAAGCAACG